UACGGAGGAGGCAAGCGUUAUCCGGAAUUAUUGGGCGUAAAGCGUCCGCAGGUGGCACCUCAAGUCUGCUGUCAAAGACCGGGGCUUAACCCCAGAAAGGCAGUGGAAACUGAAGUGCUAGAGUGCAGUAGGGGUAGAGGGAAUUCCCGGUGUAGCGGUGAAAUGCGUAGAGAUCGGGAAGAAUAUCGGUGGCGAAAGCGCUCUGCUGGACUGCAACUGACACUCAGGGACGAAAGCUAGGGGAGCGAAUGGG
rnacentral:rRNA from 1 species